GGAAUAUUGGACAAGGGGCGAAAGCCUGAUCCAGCCAUGCCGCGUGUGUGAAGAAGGUCUUCGGAUUGUAAAGCACUUUACGUGGGGAGGAAGGGCUGUAAGUUAAUACCUUGCUGUUUUGACGUUACCGACAGAAUAAGCACCGGCUAACUCUGUGCCAGCAGCCGCGGUAAUACAGAGGGUGCAAGCGUUAAUCGGAAUUACUGGGCGUAAAGCGCGCGUAGGUGGUUUGUUAAGUUGGAUGUGAAAGCCCCGGGCUCAACCUGGGAACUGCAUCCAAAACUGGCAAGCUAGAGUACGGUAGAGGGUGGUGGAAUUUCCUGUGUAGCGGUGAAAUGCGUAGAUAUAGGAAGGAACACCAGUGGCGAAGGCGACCACCUGGACUGAUACUGACACUGAGGCACGAAAGCGUGGGGAGCGAAC
rnacentral:rRNA from 1 species